rnacentral:rRNA from 1 species
UACGAAGGGGGCUAGCGUUGUUCGGAAUCACUGGGCGUAAAGCGCACGUAGGCGGAUUAUUAAGUCGGGGGUGAAAUCCCGAGGCUCAACCUCGGAACUGCCUUCGAUACUGCUAAUCUUAGAGUCCGGGAGAGGUGAGUGGAACUCCGAGUGUAGAGGUGAAAUUCGUAGAUAUUCGGAAGAACACCAGUGGCGAAGGCGGCUCACUGGCCCGGUACUGACGCUGAGGUGCGAAAGCGUGGGGAGCAAACAGG